rnacentral:rRNA from 1 species
AUGUCGGUCCAGGCGGAGGAGCCGCGGGACACGGAGACAGCGCCUGCCCCGCUCAAGCGCCAUGACUCGCUUUGGGGUGAUGCAGAGAAGGUGUCCCAUACCAACCACCAUGGCUCCCGGGUGAGCUGGGUCCGGACGCUGAGCCUCGCCUUCCAGAGCGUCGGCAUCAUCUACGGCGACAUCGGGACGUCGCCGCUCUACGUCUACUCCAGCACCUUCCCCGACGGCAUCAAGCACAACGACGACCUCCUGGGCGUCCUGUCGCUCAUCAUCUACACCCUCAUCAUAAUACCCAUGCUCAAGUACGUCUUCAUCGUGCUCUACGCAAACGACAACGGAGAUGGUGGCACGUUUGCGCUUUACUCCCUGAUAUCGCGGUAUGCAAAGAUCAGGCUGAUACCGGACCAGCAGGCCGAGGAUGCUGCGGUGUCGAAUUACCGGAUAGAAGCGCCCAACUCGCAGCUGAGGAGGGCGCAGUGGGCCAAGCAGAAGCUCGAGUCUAGCAAGGCGGCCAAGAUCGCGCUCUUCACCCUCACCAUCCUCGGCACAUCCAUGGUGAUCGGCGAUGGAACCUUGACGCCCGCAAUCUCUGUGCUGUCUGCAGUGAGUGGGAUCAGAGAAAAAGCACCAAGCCUCACUCAAACACAAGUGGUGCUCAUCUCGGUGGCGAUCCUGUUCAUGCUCUUCUCGGUCCAGCGUUUCGGGACCGACAAGGUCGGCUACACGUUUGCUCCUGUCAUCUCGGUGUGGUUCCUUUUCAUUGCGGGCAUCGGCUUGUACAACCUCGUCAUUCAUGAUGUCGGUGUCCUACGGGCCUUCAAUCCGAUAUAUAUCAUACAGUACUUCAAGAGGAAUGGCAAGGAGGGAUGGGUUUCACUUGGUGGAGUCAUCUUGUGUGUCACAGGCACAGAAGGUAUGUUUGCUGACCUGGGACAUUUCAACAUCAGGGCUGUUCAGAUCAGCUUCAACGGCAUCUUGUUCCCGGCUGUUGGGCUGUGUUACAUCGGCCAGGCGGCUUACCUGAGGAAAUUCCCAGAGAACGUGGCAAACACCUUCUAUAGAUCUAUCCCAGCACCAAUGUUCUGGCCAACCUUCAUCGUUGCCAUCCUUGCUGCCAUCAUAGCAAGCCAAGCUAUGCUGUCCGGCGCAUUUGCCAUCCUCUCCAAGGCUCUGUCUCUGGGUUGCAUGCCCAGGGUUCAAGUCAUCCACACAUCACACAAAUACGAGGGGCAGGUGUACAUUCCUGAAGUCAACUUCAUAAUGGGAUUGGCGAGCAUCGUAGUCACCGUCGCCUUCAGAACCACCACAAGCAUCGGGCAUGCUUAUGGGAUCUGUGUUGUUACUACAUUCAUCAUCACCACCCACCUGAUGACUGUCGUGAUGCUCCUCAUAUGGAAGAAGCACGUCAUCUUCAUCGCGCUCUUCUACGUCGUGUUUGGCUCCAUAGAGAUGAUCUACCUCUCUUCCAUACUGUCGAAAUUCAUCGAGGGCGGGUACCUCCCCAUCUGCUUCGCACUGGUCGUGAUGAGCCUGAUGGCGGCAUGGCACUACGUCCAAGUCAAGAGGUACUGGUACGAGCUGGACCACAUCGUGCCUACUAGUGAACUGACAGUGCUGCUCGAGAAGAACGAUGUGAGGAGGAUCCCAGGGGUUGGCCUCCUCUACACGGAGCUGGUCCAGGGAAUCCCUCCGGUGUUCCCUCGGCUGAUCGAGAGGAUACCAUCCGUGCACUCCAUCUUCAUGUUCAUGUCCAUCAAGCACCUGCCCAUCUCACGUGUACUGCCCGCAGAGAGGUUUCUCUUCCGGCAGGUCGGCCCGAGGGAGCAGCGGAUGUUCCGCUGCGUGGCGCGGUAUGGAUAUACCGACACGCUGGAGGAGCCCAAGGAGUUUGUUGCCUUCCUCAUGGAUGGGCUCAAGAUGUUCAUUCAAGAGGAGAGCGCAUUCGCACACAACGAAGUGGAGGAGAUCACCGCUGGUGGUGAAGCUUCCAAUGAUCAGCCAUCUAUGGCAUCGGGGCGAUCCACACGCAAUGCAGUGCACAGCGAGGAGAUGGUCCAAGCCAGGGUGAGCAGCCACUCGUCGGGGAGGAUCGGUAGCUUCCACUCCAACCGGACAGUUGAGGAGGAGAAGCAACUGAUUGACAGAGAGGUGGAACACGGGAUGGUGUAUCUGAUGGGGGAGGCCAAUGUCACCGCCAAAGCCAACUCCUCGGUCUUCAAGAAGGUGGUGGUCAACUAUGUUUACACAUUCUUGAGGAAGAACUUGACGGAGGGGCACAAGGCACUAGCCAUUCCGAAAGAUCAGUUGCUCAAAGUUGGGAUCACAUAUGAGAUAUAG